rnacentral:tRNA from 1 species
AGUCUCAUCGUUCAGCGGUCAAGGAUACCUCUCUCUGAAAGAGGAGACGGUCGUUCGAAUCGGCCUGGGACUGCCA